rnacentral:rRNA from 1 species
UAAUACGGAGGGUGCAAGCGUUGUCCGGAAUCAUUGGGUGUAAAGGGUGCGUAGGCGGAUGCUUAAGUCUGAGGUGAAAUCUUGCCGCUUAACGGUAAAAUGGCCUUGGAUACUGGAUGUCUUGAGUGCAGAAGAGGCAGGUGGAAUUCGUAGUGUAGCGGUGAAAUGCAUAGAUAUUACGAAGAACAUCAGUGGCGAAGGCGGCCUGCUGGUCUGCAACUGACGCUGAGGCACGAAAGCGUGGGGAGCGAACAGGAUUAGAUACCCUGGUAGUCCACGCCGUAAACGAUGCAUACUAGGUGUUGGCCCUUAGGGGUCAGUGCUGCAGUUAACGCAUUAAGUAUGCCACCUGGGGAGUACGUCGGCAACGAUG